GUAGUCAUAUGCUUGUCUCAAAGAUUAAGCCAUGCAUGUCUAUGUACACGCCGAUGCAAUGGUGAAACCGCGAAUGGCUCAUUAAAUCAGUUAUGGUUUCUUGGAAUUUGAUCCUUUUGGAUAACUGUGGCAAUUCUAGAGCUAAUACAUGAUUCUACGCACCCGGCUCACGCCGGGAGCGUGCUUUUAUUAGACAACCUGUGGAUGGAAGGCCUCGCGUUUUCCGUCCGCGUUCAAAGGUGGUGAAUCUGUAUAACUCGUUUUGUCUAUCGCUCAGGCCAUCGCGCCGGCGAAGUUCUUUCAAGUGUCUGCUCUAUCAACUGUCGAUGGUAGGUUAUACGCCUACCAUGGUUGUGACGGGUAACGGAGAAUCAGGGUUCGAUUCCGGAGAAGGAGCCUGAGAGACGGCUACUACUUCCAAGGAAGGCAGCAGGCGCGUAAAUUACCCAAUCCCGGCACGGGGAGGUAGUGACGAAAAAUAACGAUGCGGGGCUCUAAAAGAGUCUCCGUGAUUGGAAUGAGUACGGUCCAAACCCUCUAACGAGGAUCUAUUGGAGGGCAAGUCUGGUGCCAACAGCCGCGGUAAUUCCAGCUCCAAUAGCGUAUAUUAAAGCUGUUGCGGUUAAAAAGCUCGUAGUUGAAACCGUUGGGACUCGUACAAAAGUUACCGAGUGUAACGCCUGUGCGUUGUCACCAUCGGGGGUAGACGUUCCUUGUCCUCUUCACUGAGUGGCUUGGAGUGUCUAUCAUAUAUCACUUUGAUUAAAUUAGAGUGCUCAAAGCAGGCCUUGCGCCUAAAUAGCAGUGCACGGAAUGAUGGAAUACGUUGCUGUUCUGUUUGUCUGGUUUUUUGGAUACGGCAAGAUGAUCGAGAGGAACACCCGGAGGUGAACGUAUUGCAGCGAGAGAGGUGAAAUUCUUGGACCGUUGCAAGACGAACUACAGCGAAAGCAUUCGCCGAGAGUGUUUUCAUUGAUCAAGAACGAAAGUUAGAGGUGCGAAGGCGAUCAGAUACCGCCCUAGUUCUAACAGUAAACGAUGCCUACUCGCAAUCCGCCUCGGUUCUUUAACUGACUGGGCGGGCAGCUCCGGUAAACCAAAGUGAGGUUCCGGGGGGAGUAUGGUUGCAAAGCUGA
rnacentral:rRNA from 1 species